rnacentral:lncRNA from 1 species
ACUAAGCCAAAUCAACAAACCAACACAUAGAUAUGCAUACACACAAAACAAUAUAAAUCUCAAAUUAGCUCAUGGACACUAAUCAAGUUAAAUAACACUCUAGAUUUCUUCAUUGAAAAAAAAUUUCUCAAAAAUUCACGUUGAACUCAUAUGAUACACAAUAGCACAAAUACAUGAUCGUAUAACUCAUAACUCUUCCCACAUGGAAGAUUCAUUUCAUACAUGCAAACUAAACUUGUGCAAUUUUCACAACUCAACAUUAUUAACCAAUUCAAGCAUGCUUUCAUCCCUCUAGUAUACUAACUAGCUCAUAGAAACCAUUAAUCCAAGCAUCCAUCUUAUUAAUCAAAAAUACCCAAUUUGUAGUAAACUAAACUCAAUCAAUUUUCCACAUGUAUCUCGAUUACCCAAAUUAGUCCUCAACCAACAUUCCUAUCAUGCUUAUAGUCAAAUAAUUUCAAUCAAUUUUGAAAUCUAACAAGUGAAUCAAAAAGUCCCAAAUUUUGAUAAACUAAACUUUUUUGAAAAUCUUUAAGCAUGUAUAAUUCAUCAAUCAAACCUUAGAUCUAUCAAAUUGAUACACUUAAAUGCAUAUACAACUCACCAAUUAGCAAUUUAAAGCAAUGAGUCAAUUUUACCCAAUUUACAUCAAACUAACUCAUGGGUAUUUUCAUAAAUCAAAUCAAAACAUCAAUUUAAUCCAUGAUUCAUCAUAUUAGCACUAUCAAUAGCAUAUAUCAAGCACCAAUUCAUCAAUUAAACCAAAAGAUUAAAACUUCCGAAUUUUAGACAAACUAAACUCAUUGAAAAUUCAAACUCAUUUCUAAACCUUUUAAAAACUCAUCAAUAUCAACUUAAUAGGUUCUGAAUUACAUAUAAAUCACCUCAAUUUAAGAAAAGAAGAUGAAAAAUAUUUGAAGGGUAAAACACCCUAAUUUUCGAAAAAUUUAAAGUGAAAGGGAGAGGGAUGUUUUCUUGUUUAAUCAAUAACAUACACACAUAUAUAACUCAAAUAUAACUAGAUCUAAGUUAUUAGAACACUUACUCAAUGAUUUCACUAAAAUGGUAGAAGCUCUCUUGACUUCAAUCUUGAAACAUCUUCUAUUCUUGCUCUUGAUUCUAAGUUGUGGAUGUUUAAGGAUUGAUUUUAGUGGAGAUCCAUGGUAUACAAAUGAUUUUUGGAGCUUGGAGGUAUCAUCAAUGGAGGAUAGAGAAAGAAAAGAGAAAGAGGGAGAGAGAAGAGAGGGGGACGAAAAUUGUGGGGGAGAGAGGAGAGAGAAAUUUGUUUUGUUGAAAAGCUAAUACUUGUUCCAUAAGCUAAAGUUAAAUUAGUGCCCAUUAAAUGUUCAUUUAAUGCUCUCAAGCCCACUUGGCCACUUGCUACCUCAAUC